GCCAUCAUAGCUCAGUGGCAGAGCAACACUGUCUUGUAAACCAGGGUCAUGCAGUCUGGAUCCUCACUGGUGGCU